AUGUCGUGCAAUAAAGUUCAUUCAUUCAUUCUAAUCACAUCUGAUUAAGAUCCUGAUCCUCCAGGCACUGAUUGGCUGGCACAAACUUUAUUUGACAAAACAGAGAAUGUUUAGCCUGGGUACCAUCCGGGUAGUAGUUCACUCCUAUGUUUGCUUCUGCUAUCCGUCUGGAGACGUGCACAUUCUAAUCAUUUGCUGCCAACAUCAGUUGAUGAGCAAAUUACGGAAUGGGUUCUAGAGAACUUGUUUGAUGACAACAGGCCCUCCUGCUAGCGGACGGAGGGCUUUUUAGGUGUUGGAACGCCUGUUCAAACGAGCGCUUGAACCCAUUUCUUAAUUUGCUCUUGUGUAGGGACCAAUCAGCGCCCUCGUCCAAGAUUUGGACGAUUCCAGACAUUAUUAUGGUCAAGGUACCCAGACUGUAUGUGUAAACCUUUCCAGACUGUAAGUGACUGUAUAUAGUAUAUAAUUAUCGCCAGAGCGUACCCAGGCUACCCAGGGUACCCAGGCCAGAGAUUGUUCUCACAAUCACCAAACAUGUUGCAGCUUCCCAUGUCUAUCAUGUAACCAACCUGCCAUGUAUAUGUAAGGAACAGUUACAUCGUAAAUGCAUGCUUUUGCAUAUCACAGCUUUAUUACGUGCAUUUCAAUUUUCUUACAAACUCUCAGCCCCAAUAUUCAGAAGGCUUUUUGCAUCCUGUUGCAUACAAAUAAUCACAAUUGUUUAAAAUUACCGCCAUAAAGGAAUGAAAGAAACAGAACAUCACCUGUCCUGUCAUAUACUUGAAUCUGACAGACGUUCACUUCAGAGGAUAACACUGUAAUUUCUAAACUAAAACAUGUCAUAUUGGAGGUGUUUCUGGCUAACAGGAUUGAUGAAAAGGGUAAGGUUUCUUCAUUUUGAGUUGACUAUUUGGUAUUGCUUCUUGUGACAUUCUUUUAGCUUAACUGAGAUGAGAUGAAGCUGUUGUUGCACACAGCUAAUUUGGACAUAAAUAGGUUUAUACACAGAACUAUGAACAAUUAAGAGGUAUUCUUUCAUAACAAAUCAUUUCCUAGCUUCUUUGCUAUG